rnacentral:lncRNA from 1 species
GGAGCGGGCUCCCCGGGCCGGGCGGGGGGGCGGCGUGUGGGCCACGCCGCUGGGGCCGGCUGCGCGGAGCACAUGGGCGCCCCGCGUUACCUGGUGUGCGCCACGGCCGCCUGCACCGCCACCAGAUCCCCAAAUAAUCCUCAGCCCCGGGGGGGUGGGGGGUGGGGUGGGGAGGGAGGGGAUGAGUCCUCCCUAAAACAAACCUCCCAUUGAGCGAGGCGGGGUGGAGAGCCGGCCCGGGGUCUGCCCCUUCACAUGGCGAUGUCUCCGGCAGGUCCCGGCAGCGGCCGCCCGGGCCACACAGAGAGCGCAGGACUCCGGCAGGAAGUCAGCGCCCAUGAAUGCUUUCGGGAAGCAUCAAGAAACUUCGCUGCUGAAGAACCCCCCCAGCAAAGUCUUUGCCCCGACAGGCUUGCAGCCGGAGAUGGAGGGCGCAGGGGGCCGCAGAGGGCAGGGUGCGUGAAGGAGCUGGGCAUAUAACCAGCCCCUUCUCUGAUGUGCACAACAUUUUGUACAGAGCUGAUUCCUACUGAAACUGAAAUUCAGCGCAGAAAAAAAUAAAUAUCAUAAAACAGAUACCGAUCUACUCCAUCUCCAUGGGGGAAACCAAAUAUCUGGAAUGCCUAAUUCCCAGUUCUCCCAGCUGCUACCCUCUGACACAUGCUUUUCUGGACCUCAAGGAUGAUAAUGGUCCAUCUCCAUGACCAGAUCUUAUGGUAGUUUAACUGGGAGGGAGUGGACCCAGAUCCCCUCCUACAAUGGGAAAUGAAGUGUAAGCAAGUGGGUUUAUAACUGAAAAAGUGUAUGUCAAGGACGUGGCAUCAUACACCGAUUUAGAAAAACUAAAAAAAUAGAUAUAAUACUGUACGAACUAAAAGAAUUCAUAUCAGAAAGAAGCGUAUAAUAUAAUCACUCUAUCUGGACUCACAGUGCUACUGAGCAUACAUGAAAUCCUAUAGCUUAAAUAAUAUUUAUUUUCCUUGCUUCAGAACUGACCCCAGCAAUUCCACAUGCCCUUUCUAUUUCUGGGAGGUUUAGAAGCAGCACCUGGGGGGCUGGUGAGGAGAAACUGGCUGAGAGCAGAAGGGAGACCUCUGCUUUCCCCUGGAGAAAAGAGGGAGCUGGUACCACUCAUAUCUUCAAGGAAAAGGCCAGUGGCAU